rnacentral:rRNA from 1 species
GACGAACGCUGGCGGCGUGCCUAAUACAUGCAAGUCGAGCGGACUUUCAAGAAGCUUGCUUUUUGAAAGUUAGCGGCGGACGGGUGAGUAACACGUGGGCAACCUGCCUGUAAGACGGGGAUAACUCCGGGAAACCGGGGCUAAUACCGGAUAAUAUCUUUCUUCGCAUGAAGGAAGGUUGAAAGGCGGCGCAAGCUGCCGCUUGCAGAUGGGCCCGCGGCGCAUUAGCUAGUUGGUGAGGUAACGGCUCACCAAGGCGACGAUGCGUAGCCGCCCUGAGAGGGUGAUCGGCCACCCUGUGACUGAGACACGGCCCAGACUCCGUCGGGAGGCAGCAGUAGGGAAUCUUCCGCAAUGGACGAAAGUCUGACGGAGCAACGCCGCGUGAGCGAAGAAGGUCUUCGGAUCGUAAAGCUCUGUUGUCAGGGAAGAACAAGUACCGUUCGAAUAGGGCGGUACCUUGACGGUACCUGACCAGAAAGCCACGGCUAACUACGUGCCAGCCGCCGCGGUAA